UGCAAUCAUGAUCAGUAAUUUAGCUAACAGACAAAAGAUUUAAAGAAAGUUUUGGUAUGUGUAAAAUAAAAGGUACAAAAAAAUUUGACAGAAUUGCUAAUGGUAGGUGAUAGAGUACUAUAGUGAGUAAUAGGAAGUGGGGUGUACCAUCAGCAGUAAAAAUAUUAAGUGGAGAAGACAAUAGGAAAGGUGAAGAAAGUAAUGAACUAUAGGGAGUCAUAUGAAAAGAAGCACCUGAGUCUAGAAUCUAGGAAUUCUU
rnacentral:lncRNA from 1 species